UGUCGUAGUCAAGUGGUUAGGCAACGGUCUGCAAAACCGUGAACGCUGGUUCGAAUCCAGUCGAC
rnacentral:tRNA from 1 species